rnacentral:rRNA from 1 species
AUGGCGUCGGAGUCCGCCGCCGCGGCGGCUUCGUCCCCGGCGGCGCGGGCCGGGGGCGGGAAGGACGAGGAGCUGGCCGAUCUGGUGCGGCGCAUCGUCGACGUCCUCUCCCGCUACUCCGAUCGCCUCCCCUUCGACCUCGACCGCCAGAAGCUUCGCUCGCUUACCACACUUGCUGCAAUUGCCAUCACAAUUGUAUUUGCCUGGAAACUGUUGAGAGCUCCUCCAGAGCAACCUCGGAGGCCACGGAGACGGGAUGCUCCAUCAUCUAGCAACACAAGCAGUAGAUCACAGCCAGGUGCUUUGGUCGGAACGAAUGCCUGCUCAUCGGUAGAUUCAAGAGCACAUGAAGCGAUCAAUCAGCUUUUCCAACCAGUAAAUCUGACUCUUGAGCAGCUUGUCAGGCAUAAACUGAGCGAAGGGCGAAGGGUUACCUGCCGGUUACUUGGUGUGAUUUUGGAGGAAACAACUCCAGAGGAGCUCCAGAAUCAUGUCACAGUGAGACCUUCUGUCUUGGAGGUUCUUCUAGAAAUUGCAAAAAUUUGUGAUGUCUAUCUGAUGGAGCAUGUUCUUGAUGAUGAAAGUGAGGAAAAGGUACUGUCUGCCCUAAGUGAAGCUGGGCUUUUUACCGGUGGCGGUUUGGUGAGAGAGAAGGUUCUCUUCUGCAGUACGGAAAUUGGCCGCACCUCUUUCGUCCGGCAACUGGAACCUGACUGGCACAUUGACUCGAGUCCUGAAAUUGUUCACCAGUUAUCUAGGUUUAUCAAGUAUCAGCUGCACAUUUCGCCACAGCAAACGGAAAGGGUGUCACCCAAUGUUUUCAGCUCUGCAAGCUUGGAACAGUUCUUUGGAGGCCUUGAUCAGAGAUGA